CGUGGUUUGAUAACGAGAUAAAAUGAGGCGCAGCCUCAUUAACAUUCUCUCUUCCUUGUCACGGAGCGAGAGGAAGGAGUUGCUGCUGCAAGGAAACUAAAACAUCAGCCGUUUGAAAGCCUAAAAUGCGGAAGGAUGCAUUAGGAAAACCACUUGAGGUCGGGUGUCAGGAGUCUGCUUGUUGACCUAACGCCUCAAUUUUUAGAAAUUUCUACUGAUUUUAAAUGUUAUAUAUCCUGGAAGAGCUACAUGUAAAAAAAGACAGUUUAAAUUUAAAGCCUAAACGACAAUAAAAUACUCUGCAAAACAAAAA